CACGUAGGCGGACUGGAAAGUUGGAGGUGAAAUCCCAGGGCUCAACCUUGGAACUGCCUUCAAAACUAUCAGUCUGGAGUUCGAGAGGGGUGAGUGGAAUUCCGAGUGUAGAGGUGAAAUUCGUAGAUAUUCGGAGGAACACCAGUGGCGAAGGCGGCUCACUGGCUCGAUACUGACGCUGAGGUGCGAAAGUGUGGGGAGCAAACAG
rnacentral:rRNA from 1 species